CAAUAGCGCAUAUUAAAGUUGUUGCAGUUAAAAAGCUCGUAGUUGGAUUUGUGGCGUACGGUGGGUUCCGGGCACUUGUUGUCUGAGUAACUUGCUGUUGCCAUCCUUGGGUGGAACCUGUGUGGCAUUAGGUUGUCGUGCAGGGGAUGCCCAUCAUUUACUGUGAAAAAAUUAGAGUGUUCAAAGCAGGCUUAUGCCGUUGAAUAUAUUAGCAUGGAAUAAUGAGAUAGGACUUUUUUGCUAUUUUGUUGGUUUGCGCAAAGAGGUAAUGAUUAAUAGGGACAGUUGGGGGUAUUCGUAUUCCAUUGUCAGAGGUGAAAUUCUUGGAUUUUUGGAAGACGAACUACUGCGAAAGCAUUUACCAAGGAUGUUUUCAUUAA
rnacentral:rRNA from 1 species